rnacentral:rRNA from 1 species
GAGGGAUAUUGGUCAAUGGGCGCAAGCCUGAACCAGCGACGCCGCGUGGGUGAAGAAGGUCUUCGGAUCGUAAAGCCCUUUUCCCACUGAAGAGGAAGGACGGUAGGUGGGGAAGAAGUCUCGGCUAACUACGUGCCAGCAGCCGCGGUAAAACGUAGGAGACAAGCGUUAUCCGGAGUUACUGGGCGUAAAGGGCGUGCAGGUGGCGUCUUAAGUCUGUUGUGAAAGCGCCUGGCUUAACCGGGCGAGGCCAAUGGAGACUGAGAGGCUGGAGGACGGCGGAGGGGUGUGGAAUUCCGGGUGUAGUGGUGAAAUGCGUAGAGAUCCGGAGGAACACCAGAGGCGAAGGCGGCACUCUAAGCCGUACCUGACACGGAGACGCGACAGCACGGGGAGCAAACG